CUUUGCUUUUCUAGUGCAAGUCAUCACCAACCGGUCUAACAUAUGGCUGCUCUACUCAACUGGUUCAAACAACUUGGGACUUCUAUAGUUGAUGGAUUUGGAGCAUGUUGUGGCAAGACCAAGGAGGAUCCAACGACAACAACGGUGGAAAUCAGCAGGGAUCCUGAUGGUGAAGUCAACAUAAGUCAAAUUAGUAGCGGCGGUGGUGGCUCAACCCAUGCAGAUCUCCUUGCUACUAGUAUGAUCAGCAGUGGUGGGGGUGGUAGUACACAUGACACAAACCUUUGAGCAAGCCAAUAAUUCCCACAAACAUGAUGUUGGAAAACUUUUGUGUGGCCAUUGUAAUGAACGGUUAUCAAGAAUGUGAGGAUUAAUUACACGAAAUAGUAAUUGAACCUACUACCAAUUAUCUUUUACGUGUUUGAUGUGUUUCCUUUAUGUGUAUGGGUUUGUUUCCGGUUGUUCUUAUGGAUUGUUUCGAUUUGAAUAUGUUUCAUUAUUGUAACAAAUUUAUUCAAAAGUUAGAAAAAAAAAAUCAUCAAAUAUGUAUCUGUUGCAUUGAUUUUUAAGUAAAAGACUUUUAUGUAGAAA